rnacentral:sRNA from 1 species
UGAAGGUGAUCCUUUCGAGCAGGCAAUUAGCGGUGUGAGAAACUACUAAUUUACCUGGUCAAGGGUCACUUUCCUUGUAUCUUCACCACGUGUCAG